UACGAAGGGGGCUAGCGUUGCUCGGAAUCACUGGGCGUAAAGCGCACGUAGGCGGCUUUUUAAGUCAGGGGUGAAAUCCUGGAGCUCAACUCCAGAACUGCCUUUGAUACUGGGAAGCUUGAGUCCGGAAGAGGUGAGUGGAACUCCGAGUGUAGAGGUGAAAUUCGUAGAUAUUCGCAAGAACACCAGUGGCGAAGGCGGCUCACUGGCCCGAUACUGACGCUGAGGCACGAAGGUCAGGGGAGCAACGGG
rnacentral:rRNA from 1 species